rnacentral:rRNA from 1 species
UCCGGUUGAUCCUGCCGGCGGCCACCGCUAUUGGAAUUCGAUUAAGACAUGCGAGUCGAGAGACGUAAGGUCUCGGCGGACCGCUGAGUAACACGCGGAUAACAUGCCCUAAGGUGGAGGAUAACCUCGGGAAACUGAGAAUAAUACUCCAUAGAUCUAGGAUGCUGGAACGCUUCUAGAUCCAAAACUCCGGUGCCUUAGGAUUGGUCUGCGGCGUAUCAGGUUGUAGUGGGUGUAACGGACCCACUAGCCUAUGACGCGUAUGGGCCUUGAGAGAGGAAGCCCACAGAUGGACUCUGAGACAUGAGUCCAGGCCCUACGGGGCGCAGCAGUCGCGAAAACUUCACAAUGGGAGAAAUCCCGAUGAGGGAAUUCCAAGUGCUAGCACUAUGUGUUAGCUGUUCUUUUGUCUAAAAAACAGAAGAAGUAAGGGCCGGGUAAGACGGGUGCCAGCCGCCGCGGUAAUACCCGCGGCCCGAGUGGUGGUCGAUAUUAUUGAGCCUAAAACGUCCGUAGCCGGUCUUGUAAAUCCUUGGGUAAAUCGGCCAGCUUAACUGUCCGAAGUCCGGGGAGACUGCAAGACUUGGGAUCGGGAGAGGUCAGAGGUACUUCUGGGGUAGGGGUAAAAUCCUGUAAUCCUGGAAGGACCACCGGUGGCGAAGGCGUCUGACUAGAACGAAUUCGACGGUGAGGGACGAAGCCCUGGGGCGCAAACGGGAUUAGAUACCCCGGUAGUCCNNGAAACUUAAAGGAAUUGGCGGGGGAGCACCGCAACGGGAGGAGCGUGCGGUUCAAUUGGAUUCAACGCCGGACAACUCACCAGGAGCGACGGUUACAUGAAGGCCAGGUUGAUGACCUUGCCUGAUUUUCCGAGAGGUGGUGCAUGGCCGUCGUCAGUUCGUACCGUAAGGCGUUCUCUUAAGUGAGAUAACGAACGAGACCCUCACCAUUAAUUGCGAGCUUUCUCUCCGGAGGGAGUGCACAUUAGUGGGACCGCUGGCGCUAAGUCAGAGGAAGGAGAGGUCAACGGUAGGUCCGUAUGCCCCGAAUCUCCUGGGCUACACGCGCGCUACAAAGGUUGGGACAAUGGGCUACGACAUCGAAAGGUGAAGUCAAUCCCGAAACCCAAUCGUAGUUCGGAUUGAGGGUUGUAACUCACCCUCAUGAAGCUGGAUUCCGUAGUAAUCGCUUGUCAACA